GAUGAACGCUGGCGGCGUGCCUAAUACAUGCAAGUCGAGCGAACAGACGAGGAGCUUGCUCCUCUGACGUUAGCGGCGGACGGGUGAGUAACACGUGGAUAACCUACCUAUAAUACUGGGAUAACUUCGGGAAACCGGAGCUAAUACCGGAUAAUAUAUUGAACCGCAUGGUUCAAUAGUGAAAGACGGUUUUGCUGUCACUUAUAGAUGGAUCCGCGCCGAAUUAGCUAGUUGGUAAGGUAACGGCUUACCAAGGCGACGAUGCGUAGCCGACCUGAGAGGGUGAUCGGCCACACUGGAACUGAGACACGGUCCAGACUCCUACGGGAGGCAGCAGUAGGGAAUAUUCCGCAAUGGGCGAAAGCCUGACGGAGCAACGCCGCGUGAGUGAUGAAGGUCUUCGGAUCGUAAAACUCUGUUAUUAGGGAAGAACAAAUGUGUAAGUAACUAUGCACGUCUUGACGGUACCUAAUCAGAAAGCCACGGCUAACUACGUG
rnacentral:rRNA from 1 species